GAAGCGCGCCAGACCGUCGCUGGCACAGGGCCCGAAAGGGCGUGCUGGAGGAACGUCCGGACUGCACAGGACAGCGUAGGAGGUAACACCUCUCCACCGACAAGCCAGUCAGGGCAACCUGGGUGGCCCUAAGGUGAGGAUCAGAGCAACAGAGACGAGCCGAUUCAGUUCGGGUGAAACGGGCAAUCUCUACGCGCAGCAAUACCAAAUAGGCCAACGUUGACGUGGUUCCGCGGAGUUGGCGGGUAGGUAGCACCGAGCCGCUUG
rnacentral:RNase_P_RNA from 1 species